AUGCAUUGCAGUUCACAGCACCUGGUCACCUUUCAGACAAACCACCUUACUUACUUCCUAUUCUACAGCUGCGGAUUUCCUAUGCAUAGAAUCCUCCUCUGGGACUCACCAUACUGUGUGUGCAGGCUCCACUGGGCCCUCCAUGUUGCCUUGAGAGAUCUGAGGACUGGUGCGACAAUACUGAUACACCUGUUUCUCCUGCUGCAACUGGUAAAGUCCUUUGUCUCUGACUCAAGAGUCCCACGUCAGCAUCCAUGGAACUGCGACAGGCUUACUUAUCAACUUGUAUGGUUUUUUGUUGGAAGUUAUCCUGCUUCUGCGAUGUCAAAUUUAUUGAAAUUUGAAGCUGAAAGUAUGAUUCUGAGACAAGGACACGUACCCUUGAAAUACUACUUGGUUCGUGCUGGACAUUUAAAGGUCAUGUCAAGUAAUAUAAGCAUGAACAAAAAUACCAACUCUGAAAUUUUAAGUGCGUUUGGAGAAGGCAACUUCAUAGGGGAUUUUUAUGGUAUUCUUGUACAGAGAGUACAACAAUAUCAAGAAACAUGCAACUUCCUAAGAAUUGAGUCAGGACAGAGCUGUGGCUAAUGGACCAGUUCAACUCUAGGAAGCUCUCAGAGAGCAGCUUCAACCCAUCACCAGAGGUUAGUUGUUAAUAAUUUAGCCCCUUAACUACCUGAUUUCUCCCUGAAGCACCCACUUCUUACUAUUAUUCAUCCUAGAAAUUGUAUCCUCAAUUGUGUUAGCAUUUUUCAUUAGAGGACUUAUUUUCUAAUUUCAUAGAUAUCUUGGUAGCUCUUUCCUAAACUUUCUUCAGGCUUCCCCGGCGACUCAGUUGGUAAAGACUCCUGCACUGCAGGAGACCUUGGUUCAAUCCCUGGGUUGGGAAGAUCCCCUGGAGAAGGAAGUGGAAACCCACUCCAGUAUUCUUGCCUAGGAAAUUCUGUGGACAGAGGAGCGUGGUGGGCUAUAGUCCAUGGGAUCUCAAGAAUUGGACACAACUUAGCAGCUGCACCACCACCUCCAAACUUCUUCAAGGUCUAAGGGCUUGCAUACCAGACUGUAAAGCCAUUCCUGUAAUUGCUGGGGAGACAGGGUAUC
rnacentral:lncRNA from 1 species